rnacentral:rRNA from 1 species
AUGUGGACCCGUCUUCGUCAGCGCUAUCAGCCCUCUGGUGAUGCCUUAUACCUUUCUGUGGUCCGUCAGGAGCAUGCUCUUCAGCAGGGUGACUCUACUGUUGAUGACUUCUAUGCACAGAGUUCUGCUAUCUGGCGCCAGCUUGAUUCUCUCCGCAGUGCUGGUUGUCGUACCUGCCCCUGUUGCCAGGCUGUCCAGGCCAAUUUGGAGUUUCAUCGCGUCUAUGAGUUCCUGUCUCGGCUCCGUAAGGAGUUUGAGCCCCGGCGUGCUCAGUUGUUUGCUCGUGGCCGUAUUUCUCUCAUGGAGGCGCUUUCUGAGAUUCGUGCUGAGGAGACUCGCUUACGUGGUGCUGGUUUGCCGGAGGUUCCCUCUGUGCUCGCUACUCGUGCUCCUACGCCACCUGCUGCACCGACCCCUUCUCGCUCGAGUGCUCCGCCGCUCUUGCCCACUCCUUCUGGAGGCUCAGGUCGCCCCCGUCCACAUUGCGACUAUUGCAACAAUGAUGCUCAUCUUGAGUCUCAGUGCUACACGAAGAAGAAACACCUGCGCAAGGCGCGAUCAUCAUCUUCAGGGACUUCGUCA